UACGUAGGGUGCAAGCGUUGUCCGGAAUUAUUGGGCGUAAAGAGCUCGUAGGCGGUCUGUCGCGUCGGAUGUGAAAAUCAGGGCUCAACCCUGGACCUGCAUUCGAUACGGGCAGACUAGAGUUCGGUAGGGGAGAUCGGAAUUCCUGGUGUAGCGGUGAAAUGCGCAGAUAUCAGGAGGAACACCGGUGGCGAAGGCGGGUCUCUGGGCCGAUACUGACGCUGAGGAGCGAAAGCGUGGGGAGCGAACAGG
rnacentral:rRNA from 1 species